GGGGCAUAUAGAGCAGCUGCUCUGUCAUGCGUUCAUCGUUUUUGUUUAAAAAUCGCAGCACGCAACACCCAUAAGUCCAUAACAAUGUCUCAGACAAAGGCUCGGUCAUUGCAACUGUUGCUCAGAAGAAAGAUUAUAUUCAAGGAGGAUGUUGUGGACGUGGGACUUAAGGGGCAGUUUCUGGAUGUUAAAGCUUGAUUUUAUAGAAAUCUUCUUCUUCUCAUAAGGCCCAAAUUCUCAUUACUACCCUUCUCAAGAGGGAGUUCAACAAGAUCCCAUUUGUGAUUGUCAGCCAAUGCCUUUAAUUCUUUGUUAAUAGCUUCAAGCCAUAAAGGAUGUUUUGCUGCUUCUUGAACCGACAAGUGCUGGCCGAACUGACAAGUGCUGCCCUGUGAUAAAAGCCAUUUUCACAUGAUGCUUAUGUGCUACCUUCUACGUGCUUGUAGCAGGGACACAAAUGUCGACUUGUUUCCAUGUCUACAGGCACUUGUGCAUGGUCCUUAGGUUUCGUGGGGACCUUGAUUUUCGAGGUCUCACAGAUCUGCCGGGAGUCGUGUUUACGGUAAAUAGUUGGCAUGGACCACCAAAUACACACAAGGAGGAAGAAAGGUUAGGGUGUUAGUUGUUACAUAGUUAAAAGGAUUUUGAACUUGGGAGAAUUUGAUCAAUGUAAGUAGGGGAAAUUUUGGGUGUAUUUUGUAGGAAAAGAUGUGAGCGUGCACUACAACUACAAAUGGGCUGUGGGCAUAAGCCCUAAAAUCGCUGAAGACAUAAUGAAGAUUUUUUUUUUAA